CCUUUUCCAACUUCAUAAUCCAUUUGCUAGAUCUUUUGAUCUCUUAGUACUCUCCUUUCAAUAUUAUUACCUACUGAUCUUUUGAUCUCUUUGUUCUCUCCUUUCAAUAUUCUUACCUACUCUACACACUAAGUAGGGUUAGGGUUAACUAGAUACAUCAAUAUUUGCUGUAGAUAUGAGGAUGCAACAGUGGAUGUUGCAAGACUUGCAAGAGUACAGAGGUCAACACAACAGUGUAUACAGUUAAAUAUAUUCACAUAGAGUCAUCCUUACAGAUG
rnacentral:lncRNA from 1 species